rnacentral:rRNA from 1 species
UUCUGGCUCAGGAUGAACGCUAGCUACAGGCUUAACACAUGCAAGUCGAGGGGCAGCAUGGGAUUAGCUUGCUAAUCCUGAUGGCGACCGGCGCACGGGUGAGUAACGCGUAUCCAACCUUCCCCCUACUCAGGCAUAGCCCGGUGAAAACCGGAUUAACUCCUGAUAGUUUCACUAGAUGGCAUCUGACGGUGAAUAAAGCUCAGCGGUAAGGGAUGGGGAUGCGUCUGAUUAGCUUGUUGGCGGGUAACGGCCCACCAAGGCGACGAUCAGUAGGGUUCUGAGAGGAAGGUCCCCCACAUUGGAACUGAGACACGGUCCAAACUCCUACGGGAGGCAGCAGUGAGGAAUAUUGGUCAAUGGGCGCGAGCCUGAACCAGCCAAGUAGCGUGCCAGGAAGACGGCCCUAUGGGUUGUAAACUGCUUUUGUGCGGGAAUAAAGUCAGGGACGUGUCCCUGUUUGCAUGUACCGCAAGAAUAAGGACCGGCUAAUUCCGUGCCAGCAGCCGC